rnacentral:rRNA from 1 species
UACGUAGGGAGCAAGCGUUGUCCGGAAUUAUUGGGCGUAAAGGGUACGUAGGUGGUCUUAUAUGUCUGGGGUGAAAGCCUUGAGCUUAACUCAAGAAGUGCCCCAGAAACGGUAAGACUAGAGUCCUGGAGAGGGUCGUGGAAUUCCCGGUGUAGCGGUGAAAUGCGUAGAGAUCGGGAGGAACACCAGAGGCGAAAGCGGCGACCUGGACAGGCACUGACACUCAACUACGAAAGCGUGGGGAGCAAACAGG